AGCAGCCGCGGUAAUUCCAGCUCCAAUAGCGUAUAUUAAAGUUGUUGCAGUUAAAAAGCUACGUAGUUGAAUUUCGGGGUUAGUAGGUCGGUCGUGCCACAGGUAUGCACUGGUCUCACUGAUUCCUCCUUCCUGAUGAGCCGUAAUGCCAUUAAUUUGGUGUUGCGGGGAAACUGGACUGUUACUUUGAAAAAUUAGAGUGUUUAAAGCAGGCUAACGCUUGAAUACAUUAGCAUGGAAUAAUGAAAUAGGACGUUCGAUCCUAUUUUGUUGGUUUCUAGGAUUGACGUAAUGAUUAAUAGGGAUAGUUGGGGGCAUUAGUAUUCAAUUGUCAGAGGUGAAAUUCUUGGAUU
rnacentral:rRNA from 1 species